rnacentral:rRNA from 1 species
GGAGCGCUUAGAAGUGAGAAUGCCGGUGUGAGUAGCGAAAGACGGGUGAGAAUCCCGUCCACCGAUUGACUAAGGUUUCCAGAGGAAGGCUCGUCCGCUCUGGGUUAGUCGGGUCCUAAGCUGAGGCCGACAGGCGUAGGCGAUGGAUAACAGGUUGAUAUUCCUGUACCACCUAUAAUCGUUUUAAUCGAUGGGGGGACGCAGUAGGAUAGGCGAAGCGUGCGAUUGGAUUGCACGUCUAAGCAGUAAGGCUGAGUAUUAGGCAAAUCCGGUACUCGUUAAGGCUGAGCUGUGAUGGGGAGAAGACAUUGUGUCUUCGAGUCGUUGAUUUCACACUGCCGAGAAAAGCCUCUAGAUAGAAAAUAGGUGCCCGUACCGCAAACCGACACAGGUAGUCAAGAUGAGAAUUCUAAGGUGAGCGAGCGAACUCUCGUUAAGGAACUCGGCAAAAUGACCCCGUAACUUCGGGAGAAGGGGUGCUCUUU